rnacentral:rRNA from 1 species
AAAAUAGCAAUUCUUCUGAAAUACUUCAUUAACCCAUUCCGAGUACCUUACCCGUUGCUUCCGCGAGGCUGUCCUCACGGCCCUUUGAAGAUUUAUCUUUGGAGAGUCCUUGCGGGAGGUAUACAAUAAACUCUUGCAUUACCAUGUCAUCUGUCUGAAUCUGUUUAAAACAAAUAUUAAAACUUUCAACAACGGAUCUCUUGGUUCUCGCAUCGAUGAAGAACGCAGCGAAAUGCGAUAAGUAGUGUGAAUUGCAGAAACUAGUGAAUCAUUGAAUCUUUGAACGCACAUUGCGCCUCCUGGUAUUCCGGGAGGCAUGCCUGUUCGAGCGUCAUUAAAAACCACUCAAGCUCUUUUGCUUGGUCAUGGAAGAAGAGUUUGCUUGCAAUCUCUCCUCCGAAAUUCAAAGGCGGAAAGUCUCAGAGCCCCGGCGUAGUAAUAAUAUUUCGCUUGGAACUUGAAAUGAUCCUGCCCUUAACCCCCAAUUUAUCUAGGUUGACCUCGGAUCAGGUAGGGAUACCCGCUGAACUUAAGCAUAUCAAUAAGCGGAGGAAAAGAAACCAACAGGGAUUGCCUUAGUAACUGCGAGUGAAGCGGCAAAAGCUCAAAUUUGAAAUCUAGCGUCUUCGACGUCCGAGUUGUAAUUUGGAGGGGCAUCUUCGGAAUUGGCGCCGUCCUAAGUUCCUUGGAACAGGACGUCAUAGAGGGUGAGAAUCCCGUGCCUGGAUG